UUCUCACGCACGGGAAGGUUAAUUUUCAAUUUACCAGAGGCAAAAGGGUGCAACGAAUCGAUGAAAGGUGAAAUCAAAGUACGCUCGACGGUACGUAUGGUAGUAAUUGUAGCAAAAGGGUGGAAAUUGAAUUAACGCUAAGCAGCGCAACGUCGACGGGGAAGGAAAUCGAUUCGGUCCGAGGCUGGGACCCUCUCGUUUGUGCGCGUGAGGAAGAUGGUGUGACGGGUGUUAAAUAGUUCGCUGGUCAUCAGAACUUGUAAUUGUUUGGGCCCGCGACAGCAACCCGUAGGUGCAUUAUCGAUCGUUCCGAUCGUUUGGAAUUCGAUACCGCUGAUGCUGAUCCACAUCACACUGAUCUUCUGCUCGCUUCAAAGGCCCCUGCCCAUUGCCCACCAAAAAACCGGGCCAGAAACAUGGAAGGAGAAUUGUGUAAAGAAAAAAAAA